rnacentral:rRNA from 1 species
ACGUAGGGUGCGAGCGUUAAUCGGAAUUACUGGGCGUAAAGCGUGCGCAGGCGGUUGUGUAAGACAGGUGUGAAAUCCCCGGGCUUAACCUGGGAACUGCGCUUGUGACUGCACGGCUAGAGUACGGCAGAGGGGGGUGGAAUUCCACGUGUAGCAGUGAAAUGCGUAGAUAUGUGGAGGAACACCGAUGGCGAAGGCAGCCCCCUGGGCCGAUACUGACGCUCAUGCACGAAAGCGUGGGGAGCAAACAGG